GAGCUGCGGGAGGCCCGCUUUGCCGCAGGGGUUGCCGAGCAGUUUGCCAUCACGGAGGCCACGCUGAGCGCCUGGUCCUCGCUGGACGAUGAGGAGCUGAACCCGGAGAACAGCCCCCAGGACGUGGUCCAGCUUCAGGACCUGGAGAGCAUCUACCUGCAGGACAGUCUUCUGAGUGUCCCCUCGCAGGAUGACAGUCUUCUGGCCUUCUCCUCCUCUGGUCUCUCCCCCGAUGGCUGGCCCUCACCUGAAGAGCCCCCCAUCACAGCUGUGGGCCCGCAGCCCCCCAGUCCUGAACAGCAGCACAGGCAGCGGCUGCCGGGGGCCCCGGGACCCGAGGGUGGGGCCCACUUGCAGGGCUCCCUCCCCUCGGUGGACAGUGGCUCCCUCUCGGAGGAAGAGGACGAGGUGUUCUAUAACUGAGGUGGGGACCAGAGCCUGCUGGCACCGUGACCUGGCCUGGUGGGCAGCCCAGGUGUAUCCGGACACCGGGGUCUGGCUGUGCAUCUCUAGACCCCUCAGGGCAGGCCCAGGGUGGGUGCAGCGGGGCUGGGGGCCAGCAUUCCUUGUGGACCACUCCGUGCCUCCGUGGCCCUGUCCCUCGCAGUGGGAGCCAUCAUCCCCUUCUCCCUCUUUAUGUGGCUCAGGAGGGCACCCCCCUCUGCAGAGUUUCUGCCAUCAGCGAGCUCAAGAGCUCUCAGUGGACACCGGGGCAAGCCGCCCAGAGGAGCCAACAGCCAGACUCCCAGGAAGACAGACACAGAAGGGCCUGCGAGACCUGCUGGGAGUGGGGCCCGGGGACCCUGCCUUGAGCCCAGGGCUCAGUCCUUCCCCCUCUCCCCCUGAGCUUCUGCCCCCAUCAGAGGGGGAAUGCCUCUUCUGGUAGCUAACGUCUGCCCCUUAGCGCUCUUCAUGGGGAUUCUGUGUCUGGAGUGUCUGUAGGUCCCUCACUCUCUGAACCCGCUCCCUGGUGCCCUCCUCCCCCUCCUCGCUCUCCCCUGCCAUCUCCCUGAUGCCAUCUCCCUGAAGGUCGUCUGAAGACAUUAAAGUGGUGGAUUCACCC
rnacentral:lncRNA from 1 species